GGGUGUUUAUUAGAGUUUUGGUAGUUGGACCGAAUGGUCGACGUCUGUCGCUGAUCGGUUGGAACGAUCGAUACGCUAAGGUCGGUCAAGGUCAGGCCAGGUGCGGAAGAAACCAAGGGGCCUGCUGGCUCAGUUGGCGGAUUUAACGAUAAGCGGACUGAGCAUGCGGCCACGAGGGCAUCCGUGAAUGUUAGGUUCCGGUAUAUAUCAGCAUGUUAUCAUCUGCCACACAAAUGUCGGCCGUCAUUCACAUUAAGGAUCUUGGAAUCAUCCAUGACACGAAACUGACCUUUAACGCGGAGGAAACUAUAAACCAUGCUCCAGUCUCCAAGGAUUGGUUUCAACGAGUAAUUUUAGAGAUUUAUGAGACCCAAAUGUGUGUAAAGGUCUGUCAGAUUGCGGUAUUAUCAGAUUGUGUGGAAGCCAUUAUAUCUGACCGUAUUGAGUCAAUACAGCGCAGACUCACCCGUUACGCAUUGCGUCUUCUCCCAUGGCAACCAAGCAGUCUAUAUUCAUCCUACAAAACACGCAUAAAGCUUCUUGGGUUAUAAAAAACUAAGCGACAGGCGUCGCAUAGCGCAACAAAUGUUUGUUGGAGAUCUCCUAACGGGGAACAUCGACCCAGCCCAGCCCUACUCCGACGACUGGACGGCAAUGCUCCGACGACUUCUCUACGCCCGCGCCCUCUGCUGUAUAACGAAUUAUGGCUCAGGUGGUCCUAUCAAUUUCAAUGUAGAGAUCAUUUGUUUAGUGUACGAACUUCUCGAUUUAAAUGCGACACUAAAGUCCUUCAAAGACCGAAUUCACGCCUGGAUAUAGUAGAGUGUGUUCCUUGCUAGGAAUGUAGAACAUAAGAUAAGUUUAAACCUAAUAAAAUUGAUCAAGUCUAUCUGUCUAA